GAUAACCAGUCUAGUACAGCUACAUUAGAGAGGAGUGGGGACCAGUCUAGUACAGCUACAUUAGAGAGGAGGAGGGAGAACCAGUCUAGUACAGCUACAUUAGAGAGGAGGAGGGACAACCAAUCUAGUACAGCUACAUUAGAGAGGAGAAGGAGUGAGAACCAGUCUAGUACAUCUACAUUAGAGAGGAGGAGGAGGGAGAGCCAGUCUAGUAAAGCAACAUUAGAGAGGAGGAGAAGGGAGAACCAGUCUAGUAUAGCUACAUUAGAGAGGAGGAUUAGGGAGAACCUGUAUAGUAUAGCUACAUUAAAGAGGAGGACGAGCGAGAACCAGUCUAUUAUAGAUACAUUAGAGAGCAGGAGGAGGGAGAACCAAUCUAGUACAGCUUCAUUAGAGAGGAGGAGGAGAGAGAACCAGUCUAGUACAGCUACAUUAGAGAGGAGGAGGAGGAGGGAGAACCAGUCUAGUAUAGCAACAUAAUAGAGGAGGAGGGACAACCAGUCUAGUAGAGCUACAUUAGAGAGGAGGAGGAGGGACAACCAGUCUAGUAUAGAUACAUUAGUGAGGAGGAUGGAGAACCAGUCAUGUACAGCUAUAUUAGAGAGGAGAAGAGAGAACCAGUCUAGUAUAGCUACAUUAGAGAGGAGGAAGAGGGAGAACCAGUCUAGUAUAGCUACAUUAGAGAGGAGGAGGAAGGAGAACCAUUCUAGUACAGCUACAUUAAAGAGGAGGAGGAGGGAGAACCAGUCUAUGAUAGAUACAUUAGAGAGGAGGAGGGAAAACCAGUCUAGUAUAGAUACAUUAGAGAGGAGGAGGAGGGAGAACCAGUCUAGUAUAGCCACAUUAGAGAGGAGGAGGAGGGAAAACCAGUCUAGUAUAGAUAUAUUAGAGAGGAGGAGGGAGAACCUGUAUAGUACAUCUACAUUAAAGAGGAGGACGAGCGAGAACCAGUCUAUUAUAGACACAUUAGAGAGGAGGAGGGAGAACCGAUCCAGUACAGCUACAUUAGAGAGGAGGAGGAGAGAUAACCAGUCUAGUACAGCUACAUUAGAGAGGAGGAGGAGGGAGAACCAGUCUAGUACAGCUACAUAAUAGAGGAGGAGGAGGGAAAACCAGUCUAGUAUAGAUACAUUAGAGAGGAGGAGGGAAAACCAGUCUACUAUAGCUACAUUAGAGAGGAGGAGGAGGGAAAACCAGUCUAGUAUAGAUACAUUAGAGAGGAGGAGGGAGAACCUGUAUAGUACAGCUACAUUAAAGAGGAGGACGAGCG
ensembl:lncRNA